rnacentral:lncRNA from 1 species
GUUGCAUUGAGCCAAGAUCGUGCCACUGUACUCCAGCCUGGGCGACAGAGUAAGACUCUGUCUUAAAAAAAAAAAAUUGCCGGGUGUGGUGGCAGGCACCUGCAAUCCCAGCUACUCAGGAAGCUGAAGCAGGAGAAUUGCUUGAAUCCAGGAGGCGAAGGUUUCAGCAAGUCAAGAUUGCGCCACUGCAUGCCAGCCUAGGCAACAGAGCCCCGUGGAGAAUUGAUUCCCCGAAGACCCGACCCCCCUGCACCCUCAGAAGAGGGGUUGAGAAUGGAAUCCUCUGUGGAUGACGGCGCCACUGCCACCACCGCAGACGCCGCCUCUGGGGAGGCCCCCGAGGCUGGGCCCUCCCCCUCCCACUCCCCCACCAUGUGCCAAACGGGAGGCCCCGGGCCCCCGCCCCCCAGCCCCCCAGAUGGCUCCCCUGACCCCCCUGACCCCCUCGGAGCCAAAUGAGGCAGGAAUCCCCCCGCCCCUCCAUAGAGAGCCGCCUUUCUCGGAACUGAACUGAACUCUUUUGGGCCUGGAGCCCCUUGACACAGCGGAGGUCCCUCCUCACCCACUCCUGGCCCAAGACGGGCCGCAGGCUUCGGGGACCCGGACCCCCCAUUUCGCGUCUCCCCUUUCCCUCCCCAGCCCGGUCCCUGGAGGGGCCUCUGGUUCAAACCUUCGCGUGGCAUUUUCACAUUAUUUAAAAAAGACAAAAACAACUUUUUGGAGGAACACGGGGCCUGUGCGUGUUUCGCGAGGUGAGGAGGGGAGGAUGCAGGGAGCGAGUGCGACCCUGAGAAGUCCCAUCCUCACAGCCUGGCCCACAUGGCAGAUGGGACAUCGGAUGCUCAGAGAAGCGGAAACUCCCUCACAGUGGCAGAGGCCCGGCUUCUCUGCUUCUCCAGAUCCCUGCUCUGCGCCUGGGGUUUGCAUCGCCCAACCUUGGCCGCUGCAGCAGCAGCACUGCUGGCUCAAGAGGCCAUAAGGAUGAAGCAAGAGAAUCGCUCGAACCCAGGAGACGGAGGUUGCA